AUACUUACCUGGCAGGGGAGACACCAUGAUCACGAAGGUGGUUUUCCCAGGGCGAGGCUUAUCCAUUGCACUCCGGAUGUGCUGACCCCUGCGAUUUCCCCAAAUGUGGGAAACUCGACUGCAUAAUUUGUGGUAGUGGGGGACUGCGUUCGCGCUCUCCCCUG
ensembl:snRNA U1 U1 spliceosomal RNA